rnacentral:rRNA from 1 species
GAUGAACGCUGACAGAAUGCUUAACACAUGCCAGUCAACUUGAAUUUGGGUUUUUACCUUAGGUUUGGGUGGCGGACGGGUGAGUAACGCGUAAAGAACUUGCCUCACAGCUAGGGACAACAUUUGGAAACGAAUGCUAAUACCUAAUAUUAUGAUAAUAGGGCAUCCUAUAAUUAUGAAAGCUAUAAGCGCUGUGAGAGAGCUUUGCGUCCCAUUAGCUAGUUGGAGAGGUAACGGCUCACCAAGGCGAUGAUGGGUAGCCGGUCUGAGAGGGUGAUCGGCCACAAGGGGACUGAGACACGGCCCUUACUCCUACGGGAGGCAGCAGUGGGGAAUAUUGGACAAUGGACCGAGAGUCUGAUCCAGCAAUUCUGUGUGCACGAUGAAGUUUUUCGGAAUGUAAAGUGCUUUCAGUUGGGAAGAAACAAAUGACGGUACCAACAGAAGAAGUGACGGCUAAAUACGUG